AGUGAACGCUGGCGGUAGGCCUAACACAUGCAAGUCGAACGGCAGCACAGUAAGAGCUUGCUCUUACGGGUGGCGAGUGGCGGACGGGUGAGGAAUACAUCGGAAUCUACUUUUUCGUGGGGGAUAACGUAGGGAAACUUACGCUAAUACCGCAUACGACCUACGGGUGAAAGCAGGGGAUCUUCGGACCUUGCGCGAUUGAAUGAGCCGAUGUCGGAUUAGCUAGUUGGCGGGGUAAAGGCCCACCAAGGCGACGAUCCGUAGCUGGUCUGAGAGGAUGAUCAGCCACACUGGAACUGAGACACGGUCCAGACUCCUACGGGAGGCAGCAGUGGGGAAUAUUGGGCAAUGGGCGCAAGCCUGAUCCAGCCAUACCGCGUGGGUGAAGAAGGCCUUCGGGUUGUAAAGCCCUUUUGUUGGGAAAGAAAAGCAGCAGGCUAAUACCCCGCUGUUCUGACGGUACCCAAAGAAUAAGCACCGGCUAACUUCGUG
rnacentral:rRNA from 1 species